rnacentral:rRNA from 1 species
AAUGAACGCUGGCGGCGCGCCUAAUACAUGCAAGUCGAGCGAGAAGACGUAGCAAUACGUUUGUAAAGCGGCGAACGGGUGAGGAAUACAUGGGUAACCUACCCUAGAGUGGGGAAUAACUAGCCGAAAGGUUAGCUAAUACCGCGUACGCUCCUUGGACUUCGGUUCAGGGAGGAAAGCGAUGCCGAGGGUAUCGCGCUCUUGGAUGGGCUCAUGUCCUAUCAGCUUGNGGUGAGGUAACGGCUCACCAAGGCUUCGACGGGUAGCUGGUCUGAGAGGACGAUCAGCCACACUGGCACUGCGACACGGGCCAGACUCCUACGGGAGCAGCAGUAAGGAAUAUUGCGCAAUGGGCGAAAGCCUGACGCAGCGACGCCGCGUGGGGGAGUGAA